ACACAGACUUCAGCAAUAAAUGGAAACAUUAGCUAUAAAGCAAAUGGAAAAGUUACCAAAGCAUUACCAUUCCAGACAGCACUAUCAUAAACCACCUACAACUUAGUUUCCUGCAUCCUUGUUAAUUGACUAAAUCCAGUGUUACAGUAUGUGUAUUCUGGGCCAUCCCGAUAGGCAAUAAAAUCACUACCUUGGCAUAAGAGAGACAUUUAGCACCAGGACACUAAUAGGGUUAGAAAUUUCCUCGGUGAGUAUUAAUAAUUUAUCCCACCAUUCAUUCUUGUAAAUGCUAUUUGUAUUCCUCAAAUAAUAGCUGAGUUGCGGAGAUGUGAGUCCAUCAAUUCUUGCUCUGUUUCCAAUGGGGAAGCCCAGUGUCUGAUCCAGCCCACUGAGAAAACCCUGGGAAACUUGGAGACUUGGGACUCAAGAGCAGGAGGAGUGGAUCACUCACACAUUCAACAAGCAAUCAUUAGAUGCCUGCUGUGUGCCAACCAUUGGGAGAGGAGCUGGGAAGACAAAGAUAAAAAGGAGAUGAUGGUUCAUGCCUUCAGGGUUCUAGUAGGAAUGGGAAUGUUCAUGUCAGCCUUUAAUUCAAGGCUUCUUAACUUUUUUUGGAUGUGUCUUGGAUCUCUUUGACAGUCUAGUGAAGGCCAGUGAAAAAAAUCUCUUUUGGAAUAAUGUUCUUAAAGAUUUGAAGGAAAUGCUCAAUUUCUGUUAAAGGUUAGUAAGUUUGUGGGCCCCUUGAAAUUUACCCAGGAUCCCCGGCUUAAGAACCCCGUCUUCAUUAGACCUGUCAGUCAGUGGCCCAAGAGUCUUGGGAAUGAGCAAGUCUUCAGUGGAAAUGAACAGAUCUGGGACUGCAAGUCUAGCUCUGCUCCAAGUGUGGAAAAUACAAAAUUGCUCCCCUUUGGUGGACGUCUCCAUUUCUGUCUGCAUUCUGAGACUUCUGCUAACGUGAUGUAAUUACAUUUCCUGUGUGUUCUCUUUCAAAUGAAAGGCUCCCAUAUAAAAUAAUAAACCAGCUUGGGCUUGCCUGGAUAGUAAACUC
rnacentral:lncRNA from 1 species